rnacentral:rRNA from 1 species
GACGAACGCUGGCGGCGUGCUUAACACAUGCAAGUCGAACGGAAAGGCCCUGCUUUUGUGGGGUGCUCGAGUGGCGAACGGGUGAGUAACACGUGAGUAACCUGCCCUUGACUGUGGGAUAACUUCAGGAAACUGGGGCUAAUACCGGAUAGGAGCUCCUGCUGCAUGGUGGGGGUUGGAAAGUUUCGGCGGGUGGGGAUGGACUCGCGGCUUAUCAGCUUGUUGGUGGGGUAGUGGCUUACCAAGGCUUUGACGGGUAGCCGGCCCGGGAGGGUGACCGGCCACAUUGGGACUGAGAUACGGCCCAGACUCCUACGGGAGGCCGCAGUGGUGAAUAUUGCACAAUGGGCGGAAGCCUGAUGCAGCAACGCCGCGUGCGGGAUGACGGCCUUCGGGGUGUAAACCGCUUUCGCCUGUGACGAAGCGUGAGUGACGGUAAUGGGUAAAGAAGCACCGGCUAACUACGUG